UUCGGACUUUAGUGGCGGACGGGUGAGUAACGCGUGCGAAUCUGCCUUUAGGACGGGAACUUCAACUGGAAACGGUUGAUCGGGCCGAUGUGCCCUUCGGGGUGAAAUUAUCUGUAACCUGAAGAUGAGCUCGCGGCCGAUUAGCUCCUUCGUGGAGCCUGGUUUACCUACUCGACAAUCGGUAACUGGCCUGACAGGAUGGCCAGGCACACUGGGACUGAGACACGGCCCACACUCCUACGGGAGGCAGCAGUGGGGAAUUUUCCGCAAUGGGCAAAAGCCUGACGGAGCAAUACCGCGUGAGGGAGGAAGGCUCUUGGGUCGUAAACCUCUUUUAUCAUGGAAGAACGCAAUGACUGUACCUGAUGAAUCAGCAUCGGCUAACUCCGUGCCAGCAGCCGCGGUAAUACGGACGAUGCAAGCGUUAUCCGGAAUUAUUGGGCGUAAAUGGGCCGCAGGUGGCUUUGAAAGUUUGCUGUCUCAACAUCUAUCUCAACUAGAUACAGGUAGUGAAGACUACUAGACUAGAGUUAGGUAGGGGUCCCGGGAAUUCCCAGUGUACCGGUGAAAUGCGUAGAGAUUGGGAAGAACACCAGCGGCGAAAGCGCGUGACUGGGCCUGAGCUGACACUCAUGGACGAAAGCUACGGGAGCGAAAGGGAUUAGAUACCCCUGUAGUCCUAGCCGUAAACGAUGACAACUAGGUGUUGCCCGUAUCGACCCGGGCAGUGCCGUAGCCAACGCGUUAAGUUGUCCGCCUGGGGGGUACGCUCGCAAGAGUGAAACUCAAAGGAAUUGACGGGGGCCCGCACAAGCGGUGGAGUAUGUGGUUUAACUCGAUGCAACGCGAAGAACCUUGCCAAGGCUUGACAUGUGCAGAAUUUUCUUGAAAGGGAAGAUCACCUUGGGGAGUCGCAACACUGGUGGUGCAUGAAAGUCGUCAGCUCGUGUCGUGCCUUCCUGGGUCAAGUGGUGCAACGAGCGCAACCCUCGUUUCUAGUUGCCAUCAUUAAGUUGGGCACUUUAGAGAGGAGUCCGGUGACAAACCGGAGGAAGGUGGGGAUGACCUCAAGUCAGCAUCAGCCUUACGCCGUGGGCUACGCACGUCAUUCAAUCACACGGACAAAGAUCGGCAAGUUGGUGAUGACAAGCAAAUAUCAUAUUUCAGUGGCGAGGUUCAGAUCGCAGGUUGCAACUCGUUUCCAGUUAGGCGGAAUCGUUCGUAAUCGCAGGUCAGCAUGUGGAUCUCAAUUCGUUCCCGGGCGUCGGACACACCCCCCUUCACUCCCAGGAAGAAGCCACGCCCGAAGUCGUUACUUCANUCGUUCGCGGAGGAGGA
rnacentral:rRNA from 1 species